UACGAGGGGGGCAAGCGUUGUUCGGAAUUAUUGGGCGUAAAGGGCGCGUAGGCGGUGCGGUAAGUCUGAUGUGAAAUCUCCGGGCUCAACUCGGAGUCUGCAUCAGAAACUGCCGUGCUCGAGUGUGGGAGAGGUGAGUGGAAUUCCCCGGUGUAGCGGUGAAAUGCGUAGAUAUCGGGAGGAACACCUGUGGCGAAAGCGGCUCACUGGACCACAACUGACGCUGAUGCGCGAAAGCUAGGGGAGCAAACAGG
rnacentral:rRNA from 1 species